rnacentral:rRNA from 1 species
ACGGCUCAGUAACACGUGGACAAUCUACCCUAUGGAGGGGGAUAACCCCGGGAAACUGGGGAUAAUACCCCAUAGACUAUGGAUGCUGGAAUGCUCUGUAGUCGAAAGGUCCGCCGCCAUAGGAUGGGUCUGCGGCCGAUUAGGUUGUUGUUGGGGUAACGGCCCAACAAGCCUGUAAUCGGUACGGGUUGUGGGAGCAAGAGCCCGGAGAUGGAUUCUGAGACACGAAUCCAGGCCCUACGGGGCGCAGCAGGCGCGAAAACUUUGCAAUGCGGGAAACCGUGACAAGGGAACUCUGAGUGCCCGUAAAAUCGGGCUGUCCAUCGGUUUAAAAAACCGGUGAAGAAAGGGCCGGGCAAKACCGGUGCCAGCCGCCGCGGUAAUACCGGCGGCUCGAGUGGUGGCCACUAUUACUGGGCUUAAAGCGUUCGUAGCUGGUUUGUUAAGUCUCUGGGGAGAUCUUCCGGCUUAACCGGAAGGCGUCUCAGGGAUACUGGCAGACUAGGGACCGGGAGAGGUGAGAGGUACUCCAGGGGUAGGAGUGAAAUCCUGUAAUCCUUGGGGGACCACCUGUGGCGAAGGCGUCUCACCAGAACGGCUCCGACAGUGAGGGACGAAAGCUGGGGGAGCAAACCGGAUUAGAUACCCGGGUAGUCCCAGCUGUAAACGAUGCGCGUUAGGUGUAUCGGUGACCACGAGUCACCGAGGUGCCGAAGAGAAAUCGUGAAACGUGCCGCCUGGGAAGUACGGUCGCAAGGCUGAAACUUAAAGGAAUUGGCGGGGGAGCAC